rnacentral:tRNA from 1 species
UUGCAGGUGGUGCAGGCCCAGAGGGCCUCUUCGUUCAGGGCGAAGGAGAGAAGCGGGCGGGGGCUCUCCUCUCCCGCGGCAAA